rnacentral:misc_RNA from 1 species
AGGUAAGUACCAAAGAGGGCAUUUUCGUGGAGCUUACAUGGAGCUAAACGGGAGUAAGCUAUGGAUAUCAUUACUAGAAGAGAAAGCCAUUUUUUAAGGGUAGCUUACCUCAAUGGCAACUGCAAUUACUAAUAAGUAAGUAAUCUUAAAUUCUUAAAAUAAUUAUUGUCAUGAAAAUAUAGGAAUAAUAGAAUUUUUAUUUGGUAA